UUUAUAAUUAAAAAUUGAGACCUAAAAGAAGUUUGCUAUUUUUCAUGUCUAAAGAUGAAACCCUCAAAGGUACGCGAUUAAAUACGACUCUGUUAUACUUAAUGGUACGUUAGUAGUGUGUUAAAGUCACUCGCUCUAGAGAAAUGGAAAAUAUUUUAUAAAAAGUUGAAAUAGAUUUAAACCAAGAAUGAUAGCAAGGCGUAUCUAUAUAAGGAGCUUUUUCAUGGCAGAACUACACUCGGAGGUUUACCAUUGCCUGCCGAGGGGCGACCGCUAUUAGAAAAAUGUUUUUCUUAAUUUGGCGUUUCACCGAGAUUCGAACCUACGUUCUCUCUGUGAAUUCCGAACGGUAGUCACGCACCAACUUAUUCGGCUACGGCGGCCCCCGUAAUUAACAACUAGGAUUAUUAUUUACUCCUGAGCAAGAAAUUACAGCAUUCACAAUAACAAAGUGUUAAAUUUUGUUAUUAAAUGGAAAUGGAGAGCAGACUGAAUUAUGCCUGCGGAUCAUCAUCAUCAUCAAUUUGUGUGUCUGCGUUGUGGUGAUGUGUAUGUAAAUGCAAGUAAGGGAAUACUUAUCUCUGCAACACCUGCUAUGAGGAUCAAUCAACCUCGUUCCCACGUCAGUCGGUUCUAUGUAACCGGAACGACCCGGAUUUACAAUAUAUCCGGCCAAGGACUGUCACUUUAGCAGCAUUCCUCGCAUAUGCAUAAAGUGACUAUGUAAACACAAAAUAAAAUGGUAAUCUUAAAAUACAAAAGAAGCAAAUAAUUUCUUUCUGAACAGAAUGACUAUGAAGUUUUCGGAUAACUGUAUAAAUUACAUUUAUUCUUUACUACAUAAAGCUAGCAUUAUAACGAAAUAACUAAAUAUAUAUAUAUAUAUACACAUAUGUACCAAAUAGAUACGUAGUUAUGAGGAGAACACAUAUGUAUAUACAUUGCUUUGCUAAUUUACAAAUUAAAAGUGGAUAUGUUCGGAAAUACGUACAUUAAAUUUGUUUAUUUCAAACUAAUAACUA